rnacentral:rRNA from 1 species
GAGUUUGAUCAUGGCUCAGAUUGAACGCUGGCGGCAGGCCUAACACAUGCAAGUCGAGCGGAAACGACUUAACUGAACCUUCGGGGGACGUUAAGGGCGUCGAGCGGCGGACGGGUGAGUAAUGCCUGGGAAAUUGCCCUGAUGUGGGGGAUAACCAUUGGAAACGAUGGCUAAUACCGCAUAAUGCCUUCGGGCCAAAGAGGGGGACCUUCGGGCCUCUCGCGUCAGGAUAUGCCCAGGUGGGAUUAGCUAGUUGGUGAGGUAAGGGCUCACCAAGGCGACGAUCCCUAGCUGGUCUGAGAGGAUGAUCAGCCACACUGGAACUGAGACACGGUCCAGACUCCUACGGGAGGCAGCAGUGGGGAAUAUUGCACAAUGGGCGCAAGCCUGAUGCAGCCAUGCCGCGUGUAUGAAGAAGGCCUUCGGGUUGUAAAGUACUUUCAGCAGUGAGGAAGGUGGAGUCGUUAAUAGCGGCCUCACUUGACGUUAGCUGCAGAAGAAGCACCGGCUAACUCCGUGCCAGCAGCCGCGGUAAUACGGAGGGUGCGAGCGUUAAUCGGAAUUACUGGGCGUAAAGCGCAUGCAGGUGGU